GAUGAACGCUGGCGGCGUGCCUAAUACAUGCAAGUCGAGCGAACAGACGAGGAGCUUGCUCCUCUGACGUUAGCGGCGGACGGGUGAGUAACACGUGGAUAACCUACCUAUAAGACUGGGAUAACUUCGGGAAACCGGAGCUAAUACCGGAUAAUAUAUUGAACCGCAUGGUUCAAUAGUGAAAGACGGUUUUGCUGUCACUUAUAGAUGGAUCCGCGCCGCAUUAGCUAGUUGGUAAGGUAACGGCUUACCAAGGCAACGAUGCGUAGCCGACCUGAGAGGGUGAUCGGCCGCACUGGAACUGAGACACGGUCCAGACUCCUACGGGAGGCAGCAGUAGGGAAUCUUGCGCAAUGGGCGAAAGCCUGACGGAGCAACGCCGCGUGAGUGAUGAAGGUCUUCGGAUCGUAAAACUCUGUUAUUAGGGAGGAACAAAUGUGUGAGUAACUAUGCACGUCUUGACGGUACCUAAUCAGAAAGCCACGGCUAACUACGUG
rnacentral:rRNA from 1 species